UACGUAGGGUCCGAGCGUUGUCCGGAAUUAUUGGGCGUAAAGAGCUCGUAGGCGGUUUGUCGCGUCUGCUGUGAAAUCCCGAGGCUCAACCUCGGGUCUGCAGUGGGUACGGGCAGACUGGAGUGCGGUAGGGGAGAAUGGAAUUCCUGGUGUAGCGGUGGAAUGCGCAGAUAUCAGGAGGAACACCGAUGGCGAAGGCAGGUCUCUGGGCCGAUACUGACGCUGAGGAGCGAAAGCGUGGGGAGCGAACAGG
rnacentral:rRNA from 1 species